AGUGCCUGGUAAUCUGCUGAGGGAGAGAAUGGAAUACUUCUUGGAGGAACGAGGGAUGUUAAAGCUGUCUGGAUAUCUGUAGAGACUUCAAAGAGAAGACUAAUUGUAAAAGUCAAUACUGUCCCAAGCUGGCAAGGGAAAAGGGUGUCUCAAGUUAGAAAACAACCUUACUGAGUGCAUUCUUCUGCCUGGAAAACCCUAGUUGAUGUAUGAGAAAGAUCACAAAGGAAAAAUGUUAUGGAAGAUAUGAGGGAAGUAAAGAAAUAGGCGUAAGAAAUACAAAGUCUAAGAGAGGACAGAACAAGAAAUACCUGUGUGACUUUGUGUGCAUGGAAACAAGUACUUUUAUCACAGUCCUAUAGUGAUGUGAUUGGAGGGUAUAACAUGCCUUCCACCUUCAAGCCAGCCUCUUUGUGGAAGCCAGGACAAUGGAGAGCACUCAUCCAGACUGGCGGUUGUGUGAGAGUCCUUUCUUUUUACUGCCAUCUCUGAACAAUAGAGCUAUUCCAAUUCCAUGCUGCAAAAGGGAGACCCAGCACAGU